CGGAAAAAGAGGGAUUC
rnacentral:tRNA from 1 species